UCUUCUCGUAUCUCACAUUAUCUCUCUUCUCAGCCCUUUGUGUUCACCAUGGUAUUUGAUUUCUGAUUAUUCUUUCUCCAGACUAGCCCUGCUUGCAACUUCCACGUGCAGUCCUCCGCAAUGCUGCCAGAGCGGCAGCUACAACUCUAUGAUUGAAGGCAUCGCCCUCCUGGUUCUCCAUAUUGUUUGCCAUCUUGGACAGAUAAACUAGAUGAGCUCUUUUUUCAACACUCAGAGAAUGUUUUGAAUUCACAUUUCUGCCAUCUUACUCACCUAUUCGAAUCAGUUCCCUCCCCCUCCCUUGUAUCAAAUAUUGUCUCUGAUAAUAAUACAUUGAGUUAUUUGUAGUUCCUGAAGAAUUUCAUGUUCUUAUAACAUGAAAUUUUUUCCCACACUAUUUGUUAUAACUAGUUUACCUAUUUCUGCCUAAAUAAAAUCUUCUCCAAAUUUCAGAUCAGACAUUACUUUAGGUGAAGACUUUCCAGUCUGACUUCCCUUACCCGAGGUAGGUAUUUAUUCUUUCCUCAUUUCACAGGACUUUGCAAAUCCCACUAUUAUGGUAGAUAGAAUAUUAAAAUCUAAAUUGCUGG
rnacentral:lncRNA from 10 species